AUACGUAGGGGGCGAGCGUUGUCCGGAAUGAUUGGGCGUAAAGGGCGCGUAGGCGGCGCGGUAAGUCUGGAGUGAAAGUCCUGCUUUCAAGGUGGGAAUUGCUUUGGAUACUGCCGCGCUUGUGUGCAGGAGAGGUUAUCGGAAUUCCCGGUGUAGCGGUGAAAUGCGUAGAGAUCGGGAGGAACACCAGUGGCGAAGGCGGGUAACUGGACUGAAACUGACGCUGAGGCGCGAAAGUGUGGGGAGCAAACAGGAUUAGAUACCCUGGGAGGCCACAUUGUAAACGAUGAAUGCUAGGAGUAGGGGGUAUCGACGCCUUCUGUGCUGCAGGCAACACAAUAAGCAUACCGCCUGGGGAGUACGGCCUCAAGGUUGAUACUCAAAUGAAUUGACGGGU
rnacentral:rRNA from 1 species